rnacentral:rRNA from 1 species
UACGGAGGGUGCGAGCGUUGUCCGGAAUCAUUGGGCGUAAAGGGCGCGUAGGUGGCGGCUUAAGCGUGCGGUGAAAGCUCGGGGCUCAACCCCGAGUCGGCCGUGCGAACUGAGUCGCUUGAGCACUGUAGAGGCAGGCGGAAUUCCGGGUGUAGCGGUGGAAUGCGUAGAGAUCCGGAAGAACACCGGUGGCGAAGGCGGCCUGCUGGGCAGUAGCUGACACUGAGGCGCGACAGCGUGGGGAGCAAUGGG